GGAAUAUUGGACAAUGGGCGAAAGCCUGAACCAGCCAUGCCGCGUGCAGGAAGAAGGCCCUAUGGGUUGUAAACUGCUUUUGUCAGGGGAUAAAAUGGGCAUGCGUGCCUAAUUGAAGGUACCUGGCGAAUAAGCCACGGCUAACUACGUGCCAGCAGCCGCGGUAAUACGUAGGUGGCAAGCGUUGUCCGGAUUUAUUGGGUUUAAAGGGUGCGUAGGCGGUCUUAUAAGUCAGUGCUGAAAUAUCCCGGCUUAACCGGGAGGGUGGCAUUGAUACUGUAGGACUUGAGUAAAGUUGAGGUUGGCGGAAUUGACGGUGUAGCGGUGAAAUGCUUAGAUAUCGUCGAGAACACCUAUAGCGAAGGCAGCUAACUAAACUUUAACUGACGCUGAGGCACGAAAGUGUGGGGAUCAAA
rnacentral:rRNA from 1 species